CACGUCUCUACAUUGUAGGACAAUAUUCAUCGGAUUAGACAAGGCAGACAAGAAAGACUUGCCAUUUGGGUUUGCCAGACUGCCAAUCACUUAACACCGUAUGCCUCUGCUUUUAUCACCCAGCCAUUGUGAGGACACAGGUUUUAGAAGAGACAGCACCAGAUGACAAUGUAAAAAAGGGGGGUUACGCUAUUAAACCAAAGUGUGGGUCACAGAACACAAACCGGUCUUUUAUAUGGAUAUACG